GCGAGGGUUGCAGAGCCUGGUCAAUUGCGCGGGGCAAGCGAUCCCGUCCCUUAGGGGUUCGUGGGUUCAAAUCCCACCCCUCGCA
rnacentral:tRNA from 1 species